AUUGAACGCUGGCGGCAUGCUUUACACAUGCAAGUCGAACGGUAACAGGCCGCAAGGUGCUGACGAGUGGCGAACGGGUGAGUAAUGCAUCGGAACGUGCCCAGUCGUGGGGGAUAACGCAGCGAAAGCUGUGCUAAUACCGCAUACGAUCUAUGGAUGAAAGCGGGGGACCGUAAGGGCUCGCGCGAUUGGAGCGGCCCAUGUCAGAUUAGGUAGCUGGUGGGGUAAAGGCCUACCAAGCCGACGAUCUGUAGCUGGUCUGAGAGGACGACCAGCCACACUGGGACGGAGACACGGCCCAGACUCCUACGGGAGGCAGCAGUGGGGAAUUUUGGACAAUGGGCGCAAGCCUGAUCCAGCAAUGCCGCGUGCAGGAAGAAGGCCUUCGGGUUGUAAACUGCUUUUGUACGGAACGAAACGGCCUGGGUUAAUACCCUGGGUUAAUGACGGUACCGUAAGAAUAAGCACCGGCUAACUACGUGCCAGCCGCCGCAGUAAAAC
rnacentral:rRNA from 1 species